CUCUUUGAAAGUUUUGCUCUUACAUGGAAAUCUGGAAAUUUGGGUAUACGAAGCAAAAAAUCUCCCAAACAUGGACAUGUUCCACAAAACCAUUGGGGAUAUGUUUGGCCAAAUGAGUAAUAAGAUCACAAGUGAUCCGUACGUCUCAAUUAAUAUAGCGGAUGCAACGAUUGGCCGGACUUAUGUCAUAAACAAUAACGAAAAUCCCGUGUGGAUGCAACAUUUUAAUGUCCCUGUUGCACACUAUGCAGCGGAAGUACAAUUUCUUGUCAAGGACGAUGAUAUAGUAGGUUCUCAGCUUAUGGGGACAGUGGCUGUCCCUCUAGAACAGAUAUAUGGAGGGGG
rnacentral:misc_RNA from 1 species